AUGCAGUUUCCUGUCUCCACAUCCCAAACUCUGAUGGAAGUGUCAAGAGAUCCACUCACCACAUGGAUGCCAUCAAACUACAAGAAAGCAAAUUAACUGCAA